CACCUGCAUUGCUUGCUGUUUGGGGUUUUAGGCUGGGUUUCUGUACAGCACUUUGAGAUAUCAGCUGAUGUACGAAGGGCUAUAUAAAUAAAUUUGAUUUGAUUUGAUGUGCAAACACUAAUAGCUUAACUGAUCACUAACCAAUCACUGCUUUACUGUAGUAUAGGCCUAUAAAUAGGUCAAAGGUCAGAUGACCUGUUUUGAACAAUGGAUGCCAACAAUGGACAGAGAGCAAGAGGAGUAGGAGGGAGAGGAAAAGGAAGAAGAUGAUGAGGGCAAAGAAGAGAAGAAAAGGAGAGCCAUCUCUGAUGAGAUUAGGGCAACACUUGUUGAUCAUGUGAUCAACCACGGUUUGACCAUGAGAGAGGCUGGACUGAGAGUCCAGCCCAACUUGAGUUGAUUUACAGUGGCGUCCAUAAUUCGAACCUUCAGAAAUGAGAACAGUUCCUAUGCUGAACACAUACGGUGUUUGAAUUCUGUACAGAGUGGAAAGGCAAAGACAUCAUGGAGGAUGAGGACGCUUGUUUACAGAUUACUGCAAUUAUAAAUAUGGUCUAUGUGGGGACACAGAGGUUGCCUCUGUCCAAGGUUGGAUAUGCCAUGCUAGGAGAUACUUCCCUCGAUGUUUGGCAAGAGAAAACGUAUCCUGUGAUGUGGACGAAGUAUUGUGGCCAGACUCAGGCCGGAGAAGAGAUGAAGCAUAGCUUAGCACUGGUGAUUCCACCCCCCUACCAAUUCCUGGACUGACCCCCCGGGACCCCCCACACACAAAUUGUGUUCUUUACUGUAUUCUAAAGAAUAUACUUUUGGUUUACAUAUGUUUAUGGUUGUGUUGUAUGCUACUGUAUACAACAGUAAUGUUUGGCCUAAUAAAUAUUUUCUGUUUCUACAUUGCAUUGGUAUUUACAGUGUACUUGUUACCCCUCUCAGCAGAUUACUUUCACUGUAGAACAUUGUAUUGAAAUGUAGAUAUAAGCCUAUGAAAGACCAAAGAGCUUUAGAUUUAGAACAGUGUUUACAUGGUAUAUAUAUAAAAAUGUACUAUAAGCAGUGUUUGCCAUUUGAUGCAAAUGCUUCAUUCUGACAUGUGUUUAUGGCUUUUUGAAUGCAGUGUUACAUUUUGAAGGAGAUGUGAGGCAUUUUGCAUUUUGUGUGUGCAGUUUUGGGAAUUGUGUGUAGAGUUUUGAAAAAAAAGGAGACAGUUUUGAAAACUUGUGUAAACAGUUGGAAAAAACUGUAAAAUAGUGAACAUGAAAAAAGAUAGCCUUUUUAGAUAAAACUGUACUAAAUAUAUUAAUGUAACCAAAUAACUGAUUAAAA
ensembl:lncRNA